rnacentral:sRNA from 1 species
CCGGUCGCCGCAUGGGGCCGGCGCAAGCCCAGGAGGCGUCAAGGCUCUUGGCGCCAUCCUGACUCCAUGUUGCUCAAAGGAGGAUGUGGCUAUGAGGA